UCGACGGAGAGUUUGAUCCUGGCUCAGGACGAACGCUGGCGGCGGGCCUAAUACAUGCAAGUCGAACGCACUCGACCUUCGGGUCACAUGAGUGAGUGGCGAACGGGUGAGUAACACGUGAGGAACCUGCCCUGAAGACCGGAAUAACCCGAGGAAACUCGAGCUAAUACCGGAUAUCCCCAUCUGGUCGCAUGGCCUAAUGAGGAAAUGUUCAGGCGCUUCAGGAGGGUCUCACGGCCUAUCAGCUAGUUGGUGAGGUAAUGGCUCACCAAGGCAUCGACGGGUAGCUGGUCUGAGAGGACGAUCAGCCACACUGGGACUGAGACACGGCCCAGACUCCUACGGGAGGCUGCAGCAGGGAAUCUUGCGCAAUGAGCGAAAGCUUGACGCAGCGACACCGCGUGUGGGAUGACGGAUCUAGGUUUGUAAACCACUUUCAGGAGGGAAGAAAUUGACGGUACCUCCACAAGAAGCCCCGGCCAACUACGUGCCAGCAGCCGCGGUAAUACGUAGGGGGCGAGCGUUAUCCGGAUUUACUGGGCAUAAAGGGCGCGUAGGCGUCUUAGCAAGCCUUGAUUGAAAUCCCCCGGCUCAACCGGGGAACUGGUCAGGGAACUGCUAGGAUAGAGUUUGGUAGGGGAGAGCGGAAUUCCUGGUGUAGCGGUGAUAUGCGUAGAUAUCAGGAGGAACACCUAAAGCGAAGGCAGCUCUCUGGGCCAAUACUGACGCUGAGGCGCGAAAGCGUGGGGAGCAAACAGGAUUAGAUACCCUGGUAGUCCACGCCGUAAACGAUGAGCACUUGGUGUCGGGGGAUUCGACCCCCUCGGUGCCGUAGCUAACGUGUUAAGUGCUCCGCCUGGGGACUACGACCGCAAGGUUGAAACUCAAAGGAAUUGACGGGGGCCCGCACAAGCGGUGGAACAUGUGGUUUAAUUCGAGGCAACGCGAAGAACCUUACCUGGGCUUGACAUGUCAGUGAAAGCUCCGUGAAAGCGGAGCCCUCUGCGAGCUUGCUCAAAGACACUGUCACAGGUGGUGCAUGGCUGUCGUCAGCUCGUGUCGUGAGAUGUUGGGUUAAGUCCCGCAACGAGCGCAACCCUUGUCCUUAGUUGCCAGCACGUUAUGGUGGGGACUCUAAGGAGACUGCCUGGGAUAACCAGGAGGAAGGUGGGGAUGACGUCAAGUCCGUAUGUCCCUUAUGCCCAGGGCUACACACGUGUUACAAUGGCCGGUACAAAGGGUCGCGAACCCGCGAGGGGAAGCCAAUCCCAUAAAACCGGCCUCAGUUCGGAUUGGAGUCUGCAACUCGACUCCAUGAAGCAGGAAUCGCUAGUAAUCGCGUAUCAGCACGACGCGGUGAAUACGUUCCCGGGCCUUGUACACACCGCCCGUCACGCCAUGGAAGUCGGUAGUGCCCAAAGCAGGUGGCCUAACCUUCGGGAGGGAACCUACUAAGGUAAGACUGGUGACUGGGGCGAAGUCGUAACAAGGUAGCCGUACCGGAAGGUGCGGCUGGAACACCUCCUUU
rnacentral:rRNA from 1 species